rnacentral:rRNA from 1 species
GACGAACGCUGGCGGCGUGCUUAACACAUGCAAGUCGAGCGGAGCGGCGAACGGGUGAGUAACGCGUUAGUAACUGCCCCCCUCUCUGGGAUAACAGUUGGAAACUGCUGCUAAUACCUGAUAGUGGGGGAUGGCUCGCGGCCUAUCAGCUUGUUUGUUGGGUAGUGGCCUACCAAGGCUACGCCGGGUAGCCGGCCUGAGAGGGCGACCGGCCACAUUGGGCUGAGAGACGGCCCAAAGUGCAACGGGGGGCAGCAGGGGGGAAUAUUGCACAAUGGGGGAACGCCUGAUGAAGAAACGUCGCGUGCGGGAUGACGGCCUAGGGGUUGUAAACCGAUUUAAGCCAUGACGCGGUAGUGGCAGAAGAAGCACCGGCUAACUACGUGCCAGCAGCCGCGGUAAUAC